UGGCUCAUUCAUGGAGUGAAAGGCAAU
rnacentral:misc_RNA from 1 species